CAACUUUCAGCAACGGAUCUCUUGGCUCUCGCAUCGAUGAAGAACGCAGCGAAAUGCGAUAAGUAAUGUGAAUUGCAGAAUUCAGUGAAUCAUCGAAUCUUUGAACGCACCUUGCGCCCCGUGGCUUUCCACGGGGCACGCCCGUUCGAGUGUCACG
rnacentral:rRNA from 1 species